rnacentral:rRNA from 1 species
CGCGUAGGCGGUUGGAUAAGUCAGCUGUGAAAACCACGGGCUUAACUCGUGGCCUGCAGUUGAGACUGUCUGGCUUGAGUGUGGGAGAGGAGAGUGGAAUUCCUGGUGUAGCGGUGAAACGCGUAGAUAUCAGGAGGAACACCGGUGGCGAAGGCGGCUCUCUGGACCACAACUGACGCUGAGGCGCGAAAGCUAGGGGAGCAAACA